rnacentral:lncRNA from 1 species
GGAGUGUGGGCUCGGCGGUCCUGCGGGCCUCUCCGGCGCGGGGGAGUCCUGGGAAGACGCGCGAGCCACAACUUCAGGGGGCGUGGCGGGAACGGGAGCCCCUACCGAAUGGGGUGGCAGAAGAACGAAGGCGACACCAAGCUGGCCCCUUGCGGGGGUCGGGACGGCGGGAGACCUCAUCCGGAGCCCUGGGCCCGCAGAGCCAGGAGACCGCGCCAAAAUACAUCAGGGAAGAGGGGAGGACGGAAUAAUGGGCCUGGGGACAAAGGAACCCACUGAAAGGGAACCCACUGAGGGUACGGAUUGCACCCGAGCCUGAGACAGCUGAAGGUUUGCAGUCGGUGACGUGGCGAGGUGGGCAAGGGACUCCAACUCCCAGCGGGCCCCGCGCGGCCUGGGCGGGGCCAGCUGUCCCUGGAGGCUCCGCCCAUUAGCCCCGGCGCCCAGGCUCCGCCCGCCGUCCCUGGCGACUCCAAGCUUCUCGCCACUCACGUCGCUCCCCGGCCUUCCGUGGAUUCGCUCAUUCGCUCUGCUAAAAUGGAAUGACUACUUACUAGUAGUUGUAUAAGAUUUUUCCCUCGAUUUUUGUUCCUUAAACGUGGGUAAUACCUAACCCUAGAGUGGUUAUGGGGAUCGAGCCCGAGGGGCUGUGCUUGACUGCUUGGCGCAGUCACUACUCAAAUGUUAGCUUUUCUUUAAAAACAACAACAAAAAUCUGUUAUGAGUACCCUGUCCAGUUCUGUGCUCGGCGACGACCGAAUCAGACCACGUCCCUCACAGGCCCCACGGUCCACUGGGGAGAGACAUAAUCACAGGCUGUGCUAAGUGUUAACUAGCGCACAUCCACAGGGCGAUGGGAUAUGACCAUAGCGAGGUAAAGUUAGCAAGCAAGGGAAGUCAAGAAAACGACCUGUGAGCAACCUGCCAUUCCAGAUGGCUGGAAAAGUGUGCAAAGAGGACAGAACAGCAAAGACAAAUCCUGAAAGUAGAAGGAAUAAAAGGGAGCCAGUGUGGGCGGAGUCGAGUGAAGGUAGAGAGGAGAAAUAGACACAGCUGUAGGAGGUUAGAGACGGAGUCCCUACUUCUGUUUCGGAUGUUGACUAAACAAUGUAGAUAGAUAUUGAUGUCAUAGCCUGGAGAGAGAAAUUCGGGAGUCAUCAGUGUUUGAAUGGAGACUGGAUGAGCUCACAAAGAGACUGGGACACUCAUCCCUUUAGCAGUCACGACAAUGAGAAGCAACCAGCAAAGGACACGGAGGAGUGGCCAGUGAAAUGGCAGAAGAACCCGUAGGCCUGUCCAUGUUUUCCUGCCCAGGGGCUCCCGAGGGCUGACUGGAGCCCAGCCUUAAACCCCAAAUCCAACCUGCAUUGUGGCCAAACGGAGUCAGUGCUCCCUGAACACAAACUGCAAGUUAGUUAUCAACAGGUACCUCCAAUGCCCUGUCAAUCACCCAUGUGAGGACAACCUGGCAGCAGGAAGGAGAAAAAACAGGAGCUGCUUUAAUCUCCCGGAAUCCUCACUUCUCCCCAUUCUUGUUGGUCCAAACCAUCAAGAUCUCUUGCCUGGGUGACGUCUCCUAACUCUUGCUGCCUUCUCUGUCACUACAAUAAUCAAAACCAUCCAAUGGCUUCCCAGUGCCUUUAGAAUUAAAUCCAAACUUGGUACUGUGGCCCCUGCUGCCGCCCCCCAAAAAAUCUCUCUCCCAUCCUUCCUGUUCUCUACCUGUUAAUGCCUUCCCAUCCCUCAGAACCCAUCAGGACACACGUGAGUUUGAAUGCCCUGAAUUGUAUAAGCAUGGAGAGCGGUAUACCAGGGUGUACUCCAGAGUGAGCAAAAUGGGAACUCAUGUCAGAAAGUGAAAUGAAAAUGUAGGCUGAAAUUCUAUCAGUAAUACUGCAACAAAACUCUCUGAAACCAUCUCACUUAACUCGGUCCACCAACUUGAAAGACACUUUCCUUUUCAUCUGUGAAGCCCACUGCUGGGGCUAGCAGGCUACUAUUAUGACUAAGCAAUUCCACUUCCAUCUCUCAAGCUGUUUACUUCCUGAAAGGUAGCUGUUUGAUCCAAACCUGUUUAUGCCAGAAGUUCUUGUUUAAUUUACUAUCAAACUAAUGAAAUUAAUGCAAGACAGUUGUUUAUACACAAACCAGAUUGCUUGCUUUGGAAAGACUAAAAGGGAGUUGUUAAAAGAAAAACAUGCCAGGCGUGGUGGCUCACACCUGUAAUUCUGCACUUUGGGAAGCCGAGGUGGGCAGAUCACUUCAGGUCAGGAGUUCAAGACCAGUCUGGCCAACAUGGUGAAACACCGUCUCCACUAAAAAUACAAAAGUUAACCGGGCAUGGUGGUGUAUGCCUGUAGUCCCAGCUACUCUGGAGGCUAAGGCAGGAGAAUCGAUUGAACCCAGGGGGUGGAGGUUGCAGUGAGCUGAGAUCUCACCACUGCAACUCCAGCCUGAGCAACAAAGCAAGACUCCAUCUCUUAAAAAAAAAAAAAUGCUGCCAAGUUAGGUACAAGUAAAGCAACUGUAAAUUAUUUAAUGAAAAAGCUUAUAAAAACCUAGGAAGACUCAGCCCCCAGUUUGUUUCAUAAAUGUCUUUAGGUUCUCAAGCCACUUAAAAAAAUGACUCAUUGUGGUUUGUGGGUGGAGCUUAUACAAGAAUGUGAUGUUCUACUGGGCGCAGUGGCUCAUGCCCGUAAUCCCAACACAUUGGGAGGCUGAGGUGGGAAGAUUGCUUGAGCCCAGGAGCUCGAGACCAGCCUGGGCAACACAGUGAGACUCCCACCUCUACAAAAACAACAAUAAUUUUCUAGGCAUGGUGGCAUGCACCUGUGGUCCCAGCUACUCAGGAGGCUGAGGUGGGAGGAUCUCUUGAGUCCAGGAGAUUGAGGCUGUAGUGAGCCGUGUUCACACCACUGCACUUCAGUCCAAGUGACAAAGUGAGACCCUGUCUCAAAAACAAGAAUGUAAUGUCGUGUGCUAACUAGGAGACCAAUACUGAAAGAAAGGGUCUUGGUCCUACGUACAAGAGAUGUCUGUUUAAAUGUUCUUGGUUAAAAUAAGAUGUUUAAAGUGUUAAGAUGGCCGUUAGUGCUAUUUGCCAUAUAUUUCUAGCUCCACACUUGGCCAGCAUUUGACCCCAUUUAGCUUGAGUGCGGCCAUGUGAUUAAUUUUGGCCAGUAAGGUGUGAGGCCAUGUGAUUACAUCUGGCCAAUGAGAUAUGAGCAGAAGUGACACAUGUGAAUUCAGCAAGAGCACAUAAUUGCUAAUGGAAGACCAGACCCCUCUGCCUUUACUAUGUCCAUUGGCAACCUUCAUGAUCUGUCCGCACGGGCUCCAAGCUGACACUCAAUACAGCACGAGUGACAAAAUCCACCUUGGCUGUUUCAAGCCACUGCAAUCUGGGGGUAAUCUGGCCUUUCCUGAUAUACACAAUUUUUUUUUCCCAAAUAAUCCCAGUUUAACCAACAUUUGUUAAACCAAUCAACUACCAAGUCUGAGUUUCCUAGAAGAACAAACUGGCAGUACAUAUAGGUUGGAUGACAUAGGCUAGGACACAAUGACAACAUGGACAAAGUGUUUUAUACUGGCCGGGCACGGUGGCUCAUGCCUGUAAUCCUAGCACUUUGGGAGGCUGAGGCAGGUGGAUCACCUGUUGUCAGGAGACCAGCCUGGCCAACCUGGUGAAACCCCAUCUCUACUAAAAAUACAAAAAUUAGCCAGACGUGGUGGCAGGCGCCUGCAAUCCCAGCUACUCAGGAAUACAAAUACAGUCUCCUGAUUGAUCCUCCAAUUCAAGCAGGAGAAUUGCUUAAACCCGGGGAGGCGGAGGUUGCAGUGAGCUGCACUCCAAUCUGGGCGACAGAGCGACAUUCUGUCUCAAAAAAUGCUAAUAGGCUGGGUGCGGUGGCUCACACCUGUAAUCCCAGCACUUUGGGAGGCUGAGGCGGGCAAAUCAUGAGGUCAGGAGUUCAAGACCAGCCUGGCCAACAUGGUGAAACCAUGUCUGUACUAAAAAUACAAAAAAUUAGCUGGGCAUGGUAGUGGGUGCCUGUAAUCCCAGCUACUUGGGAAGCUGAGGCAGGAGAAUCACUUGAACCCAGGAGGCGGAGGUUGCAUUGAGCUGAGAUUGUGCCACUGCACUCCAGCCCAGGUAACAGUGUGAGACUCCGUCUCAAAACAAACAAAUAAAAAAGAUAAUAAAAUGCUUUAUGCUAAGAAAUGGGAGUAAGA